GACGAACGCUGGCGGCGUGCUUAAUACAUGCCAGUCGAACGGAAAGGCGCUGCUUUUGUGGGUUGCUCGAGUGGCGAACGGGUGAGUAACACGUGAGGAUACUGCGCUUUACUGUGGGAUAACUUCAGGAAACUGGGGCUAAUAUCGGGUAUGAGCUCGUGCUGCAUGUGUGGGGUUGGAAAGUUUCGCAGUUGGGGGAUGGACUGGCGGUCUAGCCUCGUGUUGGUGGGUUAGUGACGUACCACGGCUUUGAGGGGUAGCCGGCCUGGGAGGGUGACCGGCCCCAUUGGGACUGAGAUGGGGCCCGGACUGAUACGGGAGCAAGGAGUGCGGACUUGUGCACAAUAGGCGGAAGGAUGAUGCAAGAACGUCGCGUGCGAGAUGACGGCCUUCGGGUUAUAAACCGCUUUAGACUGUAACGAAGCGUGAGUGACGGUAAUGGGUAAGGAAGCAACGGCUAACUACGUG
rnacentral:rRNA from 1 species